AAUGAACGCUGGCGGCGUGCUUAACACAUGCAAGUCGAGCGAGGCGGAAGGGGGCAACUCCUUCCAGUCGAGCGGCGGACGGGUGAGUAACACGUGGGUAACCUGCCCGGAAGUGGGGAAUACCUCGGGGAAACUCGAGCUAAUACCGCAUGACAUCUUCGGGACGAAAGUCCUGAUGAUCAAAGCGGGGUCGCAAGAUCUCGCGCUACCGGAUGGGCCCGCGCCCGAUUAGCAGUUGGUGAGGUAACGGCUCACCAAGGCUUCGAUCGGUAACCGGCCUGAGAGGGCGAUCGGUCACACCGGAACUGAGACACGGUCCGGACUCCUACGGGAGGCAGCAGUGGGGAAUCUUGCGCAAUGGGCGAAAGCCUGACGCAGCAACGCCGCGUGGAGGAUGAAGGCCCUUGGGUUGUAAACUCCUGUCGGCUGGGAAGAAAUCGUUCGGGCUAAUACCCUCGGACGUUG
rnacentral:rRNA from 1 species